rnacentral:rRNA from 1 species
GAUGAACGCUGGCGGCGUGCCUAAUACAUGCAAGUCGAGCGAACAGACGAGGAGCUUGCUCCUCUGACGUUAGCGGCGGACGGGUGAGUAACACGUGGAUAACCUACCUAUAAGACUGGGAUAACUUCGGGAAACCGGAGCUAAUACCGGAUAAUAUAUUGAACCGCAUGGUUCAAUAGUGAAAGACGGUUUUGCUGUCACUUAUAGAUGGAUCCGCGCCGCAUUAGCUAGUUGGUAAGGUAACGGCUUACCAAGGCAACGAUGCGUAGCCGACCUGAGAGGGGGGUCGGCCACACGGGAACUGGAACACGGUCCAGACUCCUACGGGAGGCAGCAGUAGGGAAUCUUCCGCAAUGGGCGAAAGCUUGACGGAGCAACGCCGCGUGAGUGAUGAAGGUCUUCGGAUCGUAAAACUCUGUUAUUAGGGAAGAACAAAUGUGUAAGUAACUAUGCACGUCUUGACGGUACCUAAUCAGAAAGCCACGGCUAACUACGUG